rnacentral:lncRNA from 1 species
AUGACGUAAUAAUUAGUUGCACAAAAAUCUUUUUAUUUUUUUAGUAAUUAAUUUCGAUCUAAGUUUAGGCUGUUAUCUAGAAUUUAAAUAUUGAUCAAAAAUAAAUUAUGAUAAAUGAAGCAGCAAAAUUGAAUAUUUAUGAUUUAUGAUAAGAAAUUACUUCAUCACUCUUAUUUUUCAUUAAAUAUACAGACGGUAGCUGAACGGUGAAAUUUACCCAAUCUGCAGCACACAAAUUUCGAUAUAUGUAUUUCUCACUGUUGAUUUACGGUGUACACGCACUCUAGUGUGUUAUGUUAGAUGUAGCCAAAGGUCGAGCAAACAAUAACAAUAAUAACAACGAGCUCAAUCAUCUCUCCUCACUUAAAGAAACCAGCAUUUCUGUCCUAUAAUGGAAGGUCAUAGAUCAAGUUAUGCUCGAAAUGACGUGAGAUCGUAUGGACUGAAUUAUAUUCGAAAUAAUGUGAUUUUGAUUAGAUUGAAUCGCAAUCAAUAUAUGUAAAUAUUAUAUCUAUAUGCUUUAAAUAAAUUAAUUA